rnacentral:rRNA from 1 species
UUUAUUGGCCAGAUUUUCUUGUCAAAGCCUGAUCUCAGAAGCUAAGCAGGGCUGGGUCUGGUUAAUACUUGGAUGGGAAACCGCAGGGAAUACCAGGUGCCAUAGUG